AGAUUGUUCUUCUAAAACAGGCUGGUGUUCAGUGUUCCAGUUCUCCUCUUUCUGAGAUAUAAAGCUCUCAAGAGCAAAAGGUUCACACUUUGGUUAUGCAAAUAUGUCCAACCUCCCCAGUUUCUAACUGGCACCUUCUGAUCCCCAUUCCCUCUGUUCAUGAAAAGAAAUAAAGAAGACUCUUCAGUAGGCCAACAGUCUAAACCUAAAUGAUGUUUUGUUUGAUUUAUCUGGGCUAACAGCAAUAACUAAUAGGCCAGUGUGGUCCUACUUACUGACAGGAAGACUAAACAAUCCUCAGACCCACAACUGAACUGAGAGAAACCUCCAGGAUCAAUGAAAUGGAGCAGUUUGAGUAUGACAGAAAUAAUACAAAUGGCUUUAUUGUUCUGCUAAAAUCAUUAUCACAUGGUAUCAACACAUUACUUCCUGUAGAGAGUCGCUGUACCUUGAAGAGGUUUUUGUACAGCGUCUCUAUGAGUCUGUAUCACUGUGGUGGACUUUCGGUGGCGGCACAAGACUCGAUGUUGGAAGUAAGUAAUAUCAUCUUUGGUCCUAUGUAAUAUAUUGGUCUACAUCUUAACGCUUUGGUUAAUUUGCCUUCAUUGUAUCAUUUGGUUUUGAAAUUAAUAUAUGUUUUAAUGGUGUGCUUUAAUAGGCAGAUAAAUCAUAAACUUACGAGUCUGGUUUGGUAAUAAAACGAAAUAGGCUACCAAUGUAA